AUCUCUAAUAAUGCAUUUGUUCGCUCCAUUUGGCCAUUGAUCUAUGGGUAGAAGGCCGUAGACAUCUUCAGCUUGGUUCUGAGUAUCCGAAAUAACUUGAUCCAGAACCUCCCUAUGAAGCAAGCAUCGUGAUCAAAGAUGAUACUCUACGGUAUCCCCCAAUAUUUCACCAUAUAUAUGAAAAACAACUACGCCACAUCCUCCGCAUGGCA
rnacentral:lncRNA from 1 species